UACGUAGGGUGCAAGCGUUGUCCGGAAUUAUUGGGCGUAAAGAGCUUGUAGGCGGUUUGUCGCGUCUGCUGUGAAAUUUCGGGGCUCAACCCCGAACUUGCAGUGGGUACGGGCAGACUAGAGUGUGGUAUGGGAGACUGGAAUUCCUGGUGUAGCGGUGAAAUGCGCAGAUAUCAGGAGGAACACCGAUGGCGAAGGCAGGUCUCUGGGCCAUAACUGACGCUGAGAAGCGAAAGCAUGGGGAGCGAACAGG
rnacentral:rRNA from 1 species